rnacentral:lncRNA from 1 species
CAUGGCAGGUCCAGUGAUCUGACUGUUCUGGGAGGUAUGUUCACUGCUGAGCUGAUGAACCAAACUGUUUGGCCAACCUUGCCUCAAAAACCUGUUUGGUGCACAGAUGUCAGUUUGAGACUACUCUGGUUUUCUCCAGAUGGACACAUCUGAGGUGUCCACCUGCUCACAUCAUCAUCACACAACAAAAUAAGGAUGAACAGGAGGGCACAGUGAGGCAGAUGGAGAAGGCUGCACAGUGUCAGAGUGAAUGGAAAGCAGAAUGGAAAUGGAAAGCAAUGGAAAGCAGAAAGAGGGGAGGAAGAGCUCUCCCUUACAGGCAGCUGAGGAACAUGGGGACACAGCCACGGGAAAUCCACAGCACACAGGGAUGAAGGCAUCAGGAACAACUUGUGUGAGCUCCUCUAAUUCACAGCAACAGUUUAAACAGACAGGCUGUGACUUGCUUCCCUCUAAGUGCUUCUCCAUCACAGCAGUGUAAUGAAGACCCAACCCUGUCUGGUCCUCCCACUAAAAUGAAGCAACUCUAUAAGGUUUUUCAGAUUAUCUUCUUUCACCUUGUGCUCCUUCAGAUGUUUCCUGCACUGAAGAGGCUGAGAAAGGUAAGUAGAAAACUCAUUUUGAUUUAACAGAACAGAGGCAAAGUGGAAAAUCUUGUUCAGUUCUUUCCUCUAGAACAUGCAAUGCUUGACAAGGUCAGGUUCUCACUGUACCACACAGGAUGGCUAAUUUUGCAGCAUUGGAAUAUUUAUAGCCAGAAAGAGAAAAGUAGCAGGAAUAGGAAUAACAAAACCAGAAGACCAGACAUGUCUGGUCACCUGUGGUGGUUAUCUAAGCAAAAAGGGCUGUGAAUUCUAUUCACUCCUGUUUGUUGGAUCCUUCCUCUCACCCAAUUGACUGUGCUCAGUUCCCAGUAGCUCUCCUCAGUUGCCACCUAUAACCAGGAACCUGGGCUGUAGCUAUUUCUGUUCCUGACAGGAACAAAGAACUACUGCAAGCUCUUUUCCUCUCAAAAGGAUACCCUAAAUGCAAAGAUGCAGCAGCACAAAACAUGGCUUGCUUAUCAAUCCUAAUGGAGGCACAAACAGUCAAAGAAUGUAGAGCCUUUCCCCACUCUGCAGGCAGCACUGUGCUCAGCCAGGCUGAGAUGGGCUUUGGGGCAUCACUCCUAUAUUUUACAUCAAUCACCUCAAUGCAAAUAGGUUUGUUUGCAGACCCUCCACUACAUUAAACUUCAUUUUACCUCUGCCACAAGGACAGAUUGUUCAGCAUCUGCCUUACCUUCUAAGGCACUAUUAAUAAUAUGAGAGUACAUCUCAGUGACAGUCACCAGCAUUAAGUCUGCUCUGAAAUGCCAUUCGUUUAAAUAUGCAGAUAAAUCUUAC